rnacentral:rRNA from 1 species
GUGGGGAAUAUUGCACAAUGGGUGAAAGCCUGAUGCAGCAACGCCGCGUGAGGGACGACGGCCUUCGGGUUGUAAACCUCUUUUAGUAGGGAAGAAGCGAAAGUGACGGUACCUGCAGAAAAAGCACCGGCUAACUACGUGCCAGCAGCCGCGGUAAUACGUAGGGUGCAAGCGUUAUCCGGAAUUAUUGGGCGUAAAGAGCUCGUAGGCGGUCUGUCGCGUCUGCUGUGAAAACUGGAGGCUCAACCUCCAGCCUGCAGUGGGUACGGGCAGACUAGAGUGCGGUAGGGGAGAUUGGAAUUCCUGGUGUAGCGGUGGAAUGCGCAGAUAUCAGGAGGAACACCGAUGGCGAAGGCAGAUCUCUGGGCCGUAACUGACGCUGAGGAGCGAAAGCGUGGGGAGCGAACAGGAUUAGAUACCCUUGUAGUCC